GAGCUACAGAAUGACAAAAAAGCUUGGGGCAUCUUAUCAGGAAUAUAACAUGUUAACAAUGACAUCACAAAUAACCCCCACCCCCCAAAAAAUCGUCCAUCCAACGUCAUAUCUAAUAAUAAUGUUACUCAACCAGUUUAUUUCCUCACUACAUAACUUAUUAACAGAAUAAAAGAAGGAUGAAUAAAAGGGUGGCCACACCUAAUUCACAUUACUCACAAAUAUUGUUUACGUCUUUGUUCUGAGCCUGAUGUCAUUCAACGUGCUUUGUGUGAAUAUAUAAGCUGCUGUCUGUUCAGUGGAGGACAUCAACUAGCAAACAGAAAAAGGAUACUGAACAGGUGGAAUUAGAGAGCAUCACUUCAGCAACUUCAAUCACUGCAGUGAAGGCAAGUCAACAUCGGAUAAAAUCUCCAAGCACCUUCCAACAAUGAUGAUGAAGAUCUUUAUCGUCCUUCUCCUGUUUGUUGCUGCCCUAACGACAACCACAGGUGCUACAACGACAACCGCAGAUGCUCCAACAACCACCACAGCUGCUCCAACUGCAACAGCUGCCCCGAAGACAACCACAGCUGCCCCAACAACCACCACAGCUGCCCCAGGAGCAACAGCC